GGUAUAGACCCGAAACCCGGUGAUCUAGCCAUGGGCAGGUUGAAGGUUGGGUAACACUAACUGGAGGACCGAACCGACUAAUGUUGAAAAAUUAGCGGAUGACUUGUGGCUGGGGGUGAAAGGCCAAUCAAACCGGGAGAUAGCUGGUUCUCCCCGAAAGCUAUUUAGGUAGCGCCUCGUGAACUCAUCUUCGGGGGUAGAGCACUGUUUCGGCUAGGGGGUCAUCCCGACUUACCAACCCGAUGCAAACUACGAAUACCGAAGAAUGUUAUCACGGGAGACACACGGCGGGUGCUAACG
rnacentral:rRNA from 1 species